CAUCAUUCAGUUGGGCACUCUAGCAAGACUGCCGGUGACAAACCGGAGGAAGGUGGGGAUGACGUCAAAUCAUCAUGCCCCUUAUGACCUGGGCUACACACGUGCUACAAUGGGAAGUACAACGAGUUGCGAAGUCGCGAGGCUAAGCUAAUCUCUUAAAGCUUCUCUCAGUUCGGAUUGCAGGCUGCAACUCGCCUGCAUGAAGCCGGAAUCGCUAGUAAUCGCGGAUCAGCACGCCGCGGUGAAUACGUUCCC
rnacentral:rRNA from 1 species